GACUACGUCCCUGCCCUUUGUACACACCGCCCGUCGCUCCUACCGAUUGAAUGGUCCGGUGAAGUGUUCGGAUCGCGGCGACGGGGGCGGUUCGCCGCCCCCGACGUCGCGAGAAGUCCAUUGAACCUUAUCAUUUAGAGGAAGGAGAAGUCGUAACAAGGUUUCCGUAGGUGAACCUGCGGAAGGAUCAUUG
rnacentral:rRNA from 1 species